rnacentral:rRNA from 1 species
CUUGCUUCUCUUGAGAGCGGCGGACGGGUGAGUAAUGCCUAGGAAUCUGCCUGGUAGUGGGGGAUAACGCUCGGAAACGGACGCUAAUACCGCAUACGUCCUACGGGAGAAAGCAGGGGACCUUCGGGCCUUGCGCUAUCAGAUGAGCCUAGGUCGGAUUAGCUAGUUGGUGAGGUAAUGGCUCACCAAGGCGACGAUCCGUAACUGGUCUGAGAGGAUGAUCAGUCACACUGGAACUGAGACACGGUCCAGACUCCUACGGGAGGCAGCAGUGGGGAAUAUUGGACAAUGGGCGAAAGCCUGAUCCAGCCAUGCCGCGUGUGUGAAGAAGGUCUUCGGAUUGUAAAGCACUUUAAGUUGGGAGGAAGGGCAUUAACCUAAUACGUUGGUGUCUUGACGUUACCGACAGAAUAAGCACCGGCUAACUCUGUGCCAGCAGCCGCGGU